UCCUUAAACAAAUUGGAGUCCUUACUCGUUAUGAGAUGCUGGGACGUGUGAUCUUGGUCGUGUCACCGAGAGCUCAACCAUCUAUAUAUGGUGUGAAUUCUUUGGCCCGACCUUUUGCAGCACAGUUUGGAUGAUAGCAUGUCUGAACCGAAAGAUCUGAGAAACCGUUGGAACGAGAACAGUUGCUCGCAGCUAGAAUCAUGAUUGAAGACGGCCUUUGUGUACUACUUGAUGUAGAUGACGUUAACUGUCUCUUGCAGUCAACCCAGCCACAAGAUGGAGGUGAAAACAUGGGCAAAGUUACUAAUACUAAACAUAUUCUGCACGAGUGUAAAUCCUGAGGCCCUGAGCUAGAAUUGCUUUACACGGUUCAGUGUUAUGAAGAUACAAAAUUGUUGAAAUCGUUCCUUGAAUUGUGACGUCACUAUAUGAUCUAGAUAUUCUUGCUAUGGAUACUUCAUAUUAUUGGUUCCGCAAAAGGAACCAAACCAAAAGGAAGUUAUUAAGGUGGACAUUUGACAUUAUGUAGCCAUACGGGUGUGGAUUUGACAUGCCUGGUAACACGCUCCUUGGUCCAUACGCGCCAGGUGCUUUUGGUCCAUCAGCCGCCGCCAGCUAUAGGGUUGCGAGGCCACCAUUAGUACAUGGUUUAUACUCACCAGAUGCUUAUGGUCUUAUAGUAUUUUCAUUUGGCAUGGUUCCUUAACCAAAUUGGAGUCCUUACUCGCACAGUUUGGAUGAUAGCAUGUCUGAACCGAAAGAUCUGAGAAACCGUUGGAACGAGAACAGUUGCUCGCAGCUAGAAUCAUGAUUGAAGACGGCCUUUGUGUGCUACUUGAUGUA